CCAAGCCUUCACCCCUUGUUUUCAGAGAAGGCCAAUUGAACGGAUUUCGGGUGUUGCGACACAACUAACUUUUCGAGACUGUAGCAAAGUGAGGAGCAGUGGAAACAGGGUGUUUUAGUCCCUGCGAGAAAAAUGAGAAAACUCCCCAGACGCUGCUAUUCCCAGCUACCCCCACUUAAUAGCAGCAGCAGAAAGCAGCGUCGUCGAAGGAAAGUCCAUGGGGCUUGUCCUCCUUCUGCAAAAUUGUUUAACCAAUCCUUGUAUCAAGCUCCAAAUUCUAGAGGGAUUUCAGGCCCCUCUACCGACAGAUCCUUCCGCGCGUGGUUUUAGGCAAGAAAAAGACAUACAGAAUCAAAGGUAUCUUGAGCCUAAGUUAAGAAUAGCCCUUUCUUAUGCUAGAAUUCGACCCGUGCUACUUGUAAAGAGCAGAUAAAUAGAAGUGAAGGCUUAAUGAGCAAUAGAAGGACACACACGCAAACACAGAUCCAGAACCAAGCCUGAACUCCUGGCGAUUGGGAAUUGGGUGGGCUCUGGCUUUUCCAGGCUUCCAGGCUUAUUUCUUAUCAGACAACUGGCCGCCUUUGGCUUUUUCCUCCCCCGCUUCUUUUUUUUUUUUUUUUUUUUGAGGAGUGCUUGUUUUCAGUUGUGACCCUGGGCUGGUUCGCCAAGUCUCCUGUUGGGAGCAGUUAGUUGUGGCUGCGUUAGCUGGGCAGGACCUCCCAAGCGUCAACGAACGGGGGACCCUGCACAGCGUUAAAAUCUCGUUGCUGGAAGCCGGCGUCGACGGGCUCCGCGGUGGCCGCGGGGGGGGGGGGCAGAGGCGUAAACAAAGUGGAGCCUUCCUCACUGCCCACCAAUCCUCAGUGGAGAGAUUUCCCCUCUCAGCUCGCCUCUGCAAACUCGCGUUUGGGAGAUCGCUUUUCCAGAAAAGUUCGCCAGUUUAGGUUUCUCUGCCCCGUCAUGAACGGCGUGCUGAGGGAUUGCCUGUUUGAACAAAUGCUGGUAAAUUUCCUUUCAAAUCCGCUUUUUGAGAUGGAGAAUUUUCAGGAUGAGGAGACUGCUAACUCAGCAGAUGAAGAAGUACAGAACGAGUCACCUCAAUAAGUUCCUCCCGGGGAUAUUCACGGCUAUUGUGGCAGCCCAAGAACGCACCGAGCAAAGCUGUUUCCUUCAGAAAGAAACGUGCCCGCGAAUGACACGGCCCCACUGCAAACAGCCCAGACAUUCGUCUGAACUCGUUUGGGCUGGUUUCGGAGUAAUCGAGCUCCGGGACACAGGAUAGGACUCUGCUGUCGACCCUGCCGUCCCUUGGCUCUGCCAGCCACGGGGUUUGAGGGCCUGAGACCAGAAGCUACCUUCCCGUAACCUUCAACUUACCAAGGGCGUUGAGCGACUAAUCGGGAGGCAGUUCUAUAUUCAAAUGGCUACAGCACUAAGAGGAGCCUGGAGCCUGGAGAGGUGCUUUGAAAUCCCCUCAACUUCAAGCUCUGCUGGUAUUUAGUCCAAACUCUAGGGGAGGUUUAAAGGGUGUCGGAUUAUUUCAAGGCGGGCUUGGGAUCCACUUUCCGUGCUGUUCAAGCAUCUUUCCGAAAUAAGGAUUCUGCUAAUCGUCCCGUCUUGCUUGCAAGAAAAAGGAUUUUUCUCAACCCUCUUUACCCUCUGGCAAUUUUCAUGGUUUCUUUCGACCAGUUCAGUCGAAGAAACCUACCAGCCGCUUUACAGAUGGUUGUAAAUAAAUUCCACUCUGCAACCAGGCAGAAAAACGGGUGAGUUUCGUAGAGCAGACGAAUUUCUCAAAAUUAUCAAAGGAGAUUAUCCUUUUGUCCUUCCCCAACUUUCUUUUUUGAGUCUUUGAAACGGUUUGACACAGCCCCGGCUGGGGAUUAUGGGAGCUGGAAAUCCCAUAGAUUUCAGAAAUACUCUUCCCAUUAAAGAGAUAGUUGACUUUUACAUAGACUCUCUACUCAUUGGUGGUCUUUGGGGCUUCCCGGCUGCAUGCAACAUUUGGAUAGAUAAGGAAGAGGGUUUGGCAUAUGCAAAGACCGCACCGCAAGCCUUGCGCUUUUUCAAAGUUAUUUCAGCUGUACCGUUCUUGAUUUAUACGAGGUGCUGUGCGUGGAAGAUUUCAUUAACGAUUCAGAAAUCUAUGUGCAGAAUCAAUCCUAUGCAGGCUGACUCAGUAACAGUGCAGUGGGAUUGAAUUCCAAAAGGAGGGGAAGCCCCAUCAGAUCCACGGCACAUACAGCCUGAUUUGGGACCAGUGCACUGUUGCAUCCACUGUGUCUGCUUUGGACUGGAGCUUCACCUAUAGGGAUCAGAAGGAAUUACCUUUGGCAAACUCCACCAAGGAUUCUGUGCUUCAGACUUCUCUCCCUUCUUUCUCUUCCACUCCCCCCUUUAUGAGAUUAUGUUGCUUAGCAAAUUUUAUCAGAAUGAUUUUUAGGUGUGGUCAUUGGGGCCAUUAUUGUAACUGACAAUCACACUGAUUUUAUAUUUAGUAAUCUUAAUUUUAUUUCCACAGCUCUGUUGGCUCCUUAUCCCUAAGCAAUCCAGUAUCAUCUGAGGGUGAUGGGAAAGUAAUAAUUUCUUAAAUCAACUAAAAAAUCUGCACAACAGCUGCAAGAGUUAGAAUUUCCAAAGAAUUUGCCCCAGACUAUUACCUAGUCUUUAGACCAACUUUUUCUAUCUGUCCUUUACUGAAACUGAGAUAAAAUUAAUGACCUCUGCUCACCUAAUAGGCAGUAUACUUUCCCUGUUUCAUAGACAUAUUUUUACCUAGCACCAAUUAUAGAGGCAAAUGAUCAUAACUGGUGAAUAAAUUACUUUCUUUAUGCCCUAGCUGCUGCUGCUUCUUCUUCUUCUUCUUCUUCUUCUUCUUCUUCUUCUUCUUCUUCUUCUUCUUCUUCUUCUUCUUCUUCUUCUUCUUCUUCUUCUUCUUCUUCUUCUUCUUUCUUCUUCUUCUUCUUCUUCUUCUUCUUCUUCUUCCUAUACCUUCCAGAGGUGUUUGAUCUACCAGUCAAAAUAGAUUAUAAAGCAAAGCACUAAUUCAAAUAAAGUAUAUGAAGAAAUGAAUUUAAAAAUACAGAGAUGCAAUAUAUAUAUUGUGAAUCAUUCUCUAAACCAGUGGUUCUCAACCUGUGGGUCGGGAUCCCAUUUGGGGUCGAACGACCAUUUCACGG